rnacentral:rRNA from 1 species
GAUGAACGCUAGCUACAGGCCUAACACAUGCAAGUCGAGGGACCGGCGCACGUGUGAGUAAAACGUAUCCAACCUUCCCUUUACCCGGGGAUAGCCUUUCGAAAGCAAGAUUAAUACUCGAUAUAAAGGAUGGGGAUGCGUUCCUUGAGGUUGUUGUUGAGGUACCGGCCCAUCAAGCCUUCGAUGGGUCGUGGUGCGGAGAGGAACGUCCCCGACGUUGGAACUGAGACCCCGUCCACUAGCCUAGGGGAGGGAGCAGUGAGGACUAUUGGGCACUGGGCGCUGGCCUUCACCAGCCACGUAGGGUGAAGGAUGAAGGCUUAUGGGUCGUAAACUUCUUUUAUAGAAGAAUCUGUAUUGUAUGAGUAAGGAUCGGCUAACUCCGUGCCAGCAGCCGCGGUAAUAC